CAUUAAGAAGCUAUGCAACAGCACUAGCCUUUUAAGCUAGCAAAAGAGGUCCACCAACGCCUCCUUAAUGA
rnacentral:tRNA from 1 species